UACGGAGGGUGCAAGCGUUAUCCGGAAUCACUGGGUUUAAAGGAUGCGUAGGCGGUCUGAUAAGUCAGUUGUGAAAUUCCUCGGCUUAACCGAGUGGACUGCGAUUGAUACUGUCAGACUUGAAUCAGGUUGAGGUAGGCGGAAUGUGACAUGUAGCGGUGAAAUGCUUAGAUAUGUCAUAGAACACCGAUUGCGAAGGCAGCUUGCUGGGCUUAGAUUGACGCUGAGGCACGAAAGCGUGGGGAGCAAACAGG
rnacentral:rRNA from 1 species